ACCUGUUGACGAUCAGUGCCAGGGAGUCAGGUUAAUAAUAGUCUGUCAAAACUAACAAGUUGCUAAGCAGGUUUGAGGAGAAACUUUACAAGCUGUUUUCUCAAAAAAAUAAAAAAGAAAUGGAUUGGAGCGCACCAGUCGCAUUUUCUCUCGUUAUAGUGGCAUUUAUAGCAAACAGAAAUAAUUUUAGUAAUUCUAACUGAAAGAAAAGUUUGGUCAGUUAUCUUGCUCAAGUCGCCACAGGAUCUUCAACCAAGGCAGAAAAGUGAAAGAGCAAUUUUUUUGAAGGGAGAUUGGAGGUGAGACCGGGCCGACCGAGUUAGAGUGGGAACGCUGUUUUAAGAAACCUAUGAAAAACCCAAUGAGGAAAACAACAUGUGACAUUGUGGGUCAUUUCUGCACACGUUGGACCACCAGUAAGUAUAUUUUAUUCCUCAUUUAGUUCUGAAAAGAGGGAUGUGCAAAAUAUAACCCACAGGUCAUCUGCUGCCCUUUUAUUGAUUUUCUGCUCACAACCGCAUUUAAAGAAGGGCACCAAACUUGGCCCGACAAAAACGGGAGAGUACUGCAAAUGAAAACCCAAAAUAUCAUGACGAGAUAUUCUCUGUAAGGCACAAC